UCAUGUGCUGCGGCCCUGGAACGGUACAGGAUCCCGUCCGCUCUGCCAUACAUAAGCUUGAGAUCGGCAGAUUAGUAGUUGGGUGGGUGACCACGAGCGAAUCCCUGCUGUUGUAUGUU
rnacentral:rRNA from 1 species